rnacentral:rRNA from 1 species
UACGUAGGGCGCAAGCGUUAUCCGGAAUUAUUGGGCGUAAAGAGCUCGUAGGCGGUUUGUCGCGUCUGCCGUGAAAGUCCAGGGCUCAACCCUGGAAUGCCGGUGGAAACUGUCGAGCUAGAGUCCGGAAGAGGCGAGUGGAAUUCCUGGUGUAGCGGUGAAAUGCGCAGAUAUCAGGAGGAACACCGGUGGCGAAGGCGGGUCUCUGGGCCGAAACUGACGCUGAGGAGCGAAAGCGUGGGGAGCGAACAGG